UCUAGAGCUUGUGAAAACAUGCCUUGGAAAUUCCCAGGAGGAUUAAUAGUGCUGGCAUCAUCUGUGAUGAGUGCAUCUGGGACGGAAACAACUUCCAGAGCAUUCAAGAAUGCAAAGGAAUUUUUGGAUGGGAUUCUAAAAGUAAUUUGAAGGGUGUUGGAGGUUACGUUAAUAGAAAAUUCUUUAACAACAUAAGAGUCUACACCGAAAUUGCUGAGAAUGG
rnacentral:misc_RNA from 1 species